AUACAUGCGAGUCGAACGCACUCUCGUUUAGAUUGAAGGAGCUUGCUCCUGAUUGAUAAACAUUUGAGUGAGUGGCGGACGGGUGAGUAACACGUGGGUAACCUGCCCUAAAGUGGGGGAUAACAUUUGGAAACAGAUGCUAAUACCGCAUAAAACCUAACACCGCAUGGUGUAGGGUUGAAAGAUGGUUUCGGCUAUCACUUUAGGAUGGACCCGCGGUGCAUUAGCUAGUUGGUGAGGUAACGGCUCACCAAGGCCACGAUGCAUAGCCGACCUGAGAGGGUGAUCGGCCACAUUGGGACUGAGACACGGCCCAAACUCCUACGGGAGGCAGCAGUAGGGAAUCUUCGGCAAUGGACGAAAGUCUGACCGAGCAACGCCGCGUGAGUGAAGAAGGUUUUCGGAUCGUAAAACUCUGUUGUUAGAGAAGAACAAGGAUGAGAGUAACUGUUCAUCCCUUGACGGUAUCUAACCAGAAAGCCACGGCUAACUACGUGCCAGCAGCCGCGGUAAUACGUAGGUGGCAAGCGUUGUCCGGAUUUAUUGGGCGUAAAGCGAGCGCAGGCGGUUUCUUAAGUCUGAUGUGAAAGCCCCCGGCUCAACCGGGGAGGGUCAUUGGAAACUGGGAGACUUGAGUGCAGAAGAGGAGAGUGGAAUUCCAUGUGUAGCGGUGAAAUGCGUAGAUAUAUGGAGGAACACCAGUGGCG
rnacentral:rRNA from 1 species